GCAUAUCAAUAAGCGGAGGAAAAGAAACCAACAGGGAUUACCUCAGUAACGGCGAGUGAAGCGGUAACAGCUCAAAUUUGAAAUCUGGCUCUUUCAGGGUCCGAGUUGUAAUUUGUAGACGAUGCUUUGGGUGUGGUGCCGGUCUAAGUUCCUUGGAACAGGACGUCAUAGAGGGUGAGAAUCCCGUAUGUGAUCGGUCGCCUUCGCCCGUGUAAAGCUCGUUCGACGAGUCGAGUUGUUUGGGAAUGCAGCUCAAAAUGGGUGGUAAAUUUCAUCUAAAGCUAAAUAUUGGCCAGAGACCGAUAGCGCACAAGUAGAGUGAUCGAAAGAUGAAAAGCACUUUGGAAAGAGAGUUAAACAGUACGUGAAAUUGUUGAAAGGGAAGCGCUUGCAACCAGACUUGGGCUGUCGCAAUCAUCCGGGGCUCGCCCCGGUGCACUUGUGGCGGCACAGGCCAGCAUCAGUUUCGGUGGUGGGAUAAAGGCCUUGGGAAUGUAGCUUCUUUCGGGGAGUGUUAUAGCCCUCGGUGCAAUGCCGCCUACCGGGACUGAGGACCGCGCUUCGGCUAGGAUGCUGGCGUAAUGGUUGUAAGCGACCCGUCUUGAAACACGGACCAAGGAGUCUAACAUCUAUGCGAGUGUUUGGGUGUCAAACCCAUACGCGUAAUGAAAGUGAACGGAGGUGAGAACCCGUUAGGGUGCAUCAUCGACCGAUCCUGAUGUCUUCGGAUGGAUUUGAGUAAGAGCAUAGCUGUUGGGACCCGAAAGAUGGUGAACUAUGCCUAAAUAGGGUGAAGCCAGAGGAAACUCUGGUGGAGGCUCGCAGCGGUUCUGACGUGCAAAUCGAUCGUCAAAUUUGGGUAUAGGGGCGAAAGACUAAUCGAACCAUCUAGUAGCUGGUUCCUGCCGA
rnacentral:rRNA from 1 species